rnacentral:rRNA from 1 species
AUGCUUGAUAGCCCGCAUGCCGAGGAGUUGCAAAUUAGAAGACUUAAUUAUGGGGUGGUUACUCUGAUUCCUAAAAUGAAAGAUGCUGCAACUAUCAAGCAAUAUCGGCCAAUAUGUUUAUAUUAUGUUUGUUAGAAAAUUGUGACUAAAGUACUGACAAAUAGGCUUGAGAGAGUUGCAGAUAAGGUGGUGAGUAAGAGUCAGACGACAUUUAUGAAAAACGGAAAUAUUUUAGAUGGGGUGGUCACUAUCCAUGAGGUGUUUCAUGAGCUUAGGAGGACUAAACAAGAGGGGGUCAUACUAAAGCUAGACUUUGAAAAAGCAUAUUACAGGGUGAAUUGGGAUUUUCUACAAGAGGUUUUGCUUAAAAAGGGUUUUCUUUAG